rnacentral:rRNA from 1 species
GUGGGGAAUUUUGGACAAUGGGCGCAAGCCUGAUCCAGCAAUGCCGCGUGCAGGAAGAAGGCCUUCGGGUUGUAAACUGCUUUUGUACGGAACGAAACGGUCCGGGUUAAUACCCUGGGCUAAUGACGGUACCGUAAGAAUAAGCACCGGCUAACUACGUGCCAGCAGCCGCGGUAAUACGUAGGGUGCAAGCGUUAAUCGGAAUUACUGGGCGUAAAGCGUGCGCAGGCGGUUUUGUAAGACAGGCGUGAAAUCCCCGGGCUCAACCAGGGAAUUGCGCUUGUGACUGCAAGGCUGGAGUGCGGCAGAGAGGGAUGGAAUUCCGCGUGUAGCAGUGAAAUGCGUAGAUAUGCGGAGGAACACCGAUGGCGAAGGCAAUCCCCUAGGCCUGCACUGACGCUCAUGCACGAAAGCGUGGGGAGCAAACAGGAUUAGAAACCCUAGUAGUCC